UUAAGCGACUAAGCGUACACGGUGGAUGCCCUGGCAGUCAGAGGCGAUGAAGGACGUGCUAAUCUGCGAUAAGCGUCGGUAAGGUGAUAUGAACCGUUAUAACCGGCGAUUUCCGAAUGGGGAAACCCAGUGUGAUUCGUCACACUAUCAUUAACUGAAUCCAUAGGUUAAUGAGGCGAACCGGGGGAACUGAAACAUCUAAGUACCCCGAGGAAAAGAAAUCAACCGAGAUUCCCCCAGUAGCGGCGAGCGAACGGGGAGCAGCCCAGAGCCUGAAUCAGUGUGUGUGUUAGUGGAAGCGUCUGGAAAGGCGCGCGAUACAGGGUGACAGCCCCGUACACAAAAAUGCACAUGCUGUGAGCUCGAUGAGUAGGGCGGGACACGUGGUAUCCUGUCUGAAUAUGGGGGGACCAUCCUCCAAGGCUAAAUACUCCUGACUGACCGAUAGUGAACCAGUACCGUGAGGGAAAGGCGAAAAGAACCCCGGCGAGGGGAGUGAAAAAGAACCUGAAACCGUGUACGUACAAGCAGUGGGAGCACCUUCGGGUGUGACUGCGUACCUUUUGUAUAAUGGGUCAGCGACUUAUAUUCUGUAGCAAGGUUAACCGAAUAGGGGAGCCGAAGGGAAACCGAGUCUUAACUGGGCGUUAAGUUGCAGGGUAUAGACCCGAAACCCGGUGAUCUAGCCAUGGGCAGGUUGAAGGUUGGGUAACACUAACUGGAGGACCGAACCGACUAAUGUUGAAAAAUUAGCGGAUGACUUGUGGCUGGGGGUGAAAGGCCAAUCAAACCGGGAGAUAGCUGGUUCUCCCCGAAAGCUAUUUAGGUAGCGCCUCGUGAAUUCAUCUCCGGGGGUAGAGCACUGUUUCGGCAAGGGGGUCAUCCCGACUUACCAACCCGAUGCAAACUGCGAAUACCGGAGAAUGUUAUCACGGGAGACACACGGCGGGUGCUAACGUCCGUCGUGAAGAGGGAAACAACCCAGACCGCCAGCUAAGGUCCCAAAGUCAUGGUUAAGUGGGAAACGAUGUGGGAAGGCCCAGACAGCCAGGAUGUUGGCUUAGAAGCAGCCAUCAUUUAAAGAAAGCGUAAUAGCUCACUGGUCGAGUCGGCCUGCGCGGAAGAUGUAACGGGGCUAAACCAUGCACCGAAGCUGCGGCAGCGACGCUUAUGCGUUGUUGGGUAGGGGAGCGUUCUGUAAGCCUGCGAAGGUGUGCUGUGAGGCAUGCUGGAGGUAUCAGAAGUGCGAAUGCUGACAUAAGUAACGAUAAAGCGGGUGAAAAGCCCGCUCGCCGGAAGACCAAGGGUUCCUGUCCAACGUUAAUCGGGGCAGGGUGAGUCGACCCCUAAGGCGAGGCCGAAAGGCGUAGUCGAUGGGAAACAGGUUAAUAUUCCUGUACUUGGUGUUACUGCGAAGGGGGGACGGAGAAGGCUAUGUUGGCCGGGCGACGGUUGUCCCGGUUUAAGCGUGUAGGCUGGUUUUCCAGGCAAAUCCGGAAAAUCAAGGCUGAGGCGUGAUGACGAGGCACUACGGUGCUGAAGCAACAAAUGCCCUGCUUCCAGGAAAAGCCUCUAAGCAUCAGGUAACAUCAAAUCGUACCCCAAACCGACACAGGUGGUCAGGUAGAGAAUACCAAGGCGCUUGAGAGAACUCGGGUGAAGGAACUAGGCAAAAUGGUGCCGUAACUUCGGGAGAAGGCACGCUGAUAUGUAGGUGAAGUCCCUCGCGGAUGGAGCUGAAAUCAGUCGAAGAUACCAGCUGGCUGCAACUGUUUAUUAAAAACACAGCACUGUGCAAACACGAAAGUGGACGUAUACGGUGUGACGCCUGCCCGGUGCCGGAAGGUUAAUUGAUGGGGUCAGCGCAAGCGAAGCUCUUGAUCGAAGCCCCGGUAAACGGCGGCCGUAACUAUAACGGUCCUAAGGUAGCGAAAUUCCUUGUCGGGUAAGUUCCGACCUGCACGAAUGGCGUAAUGAUGGCCAGGCUGUCUCCACCCGAGACUCAGUGAAAUUGAACUCGCUGUGAAGAUGCAGUGUACCCGCGGCAAGACGGAAAGACCCCGUGAACCUUUACUAUAGCUUGACACUGAACAUUGAGCCUUGAUGUGUAGGAUAGGUGGGAGGCUUUGAAGUGUGGACGCCAGUCUGCAUGGAGCCGACCUUGAAAUACCACCCUUUAAUGUUUGAUGUUCUAACGUUGACCCGUAAUCCGGGUUGCGGACAGUGUCUGGUGGGUAGUUUGACUGGGGCGGUCUCCUCCUAAAGAGUAACGGAGGAGCACGAAGGUUGGCUAAUCCUGGUCGGACAUCAGGAGGUUAGUGCAAUGGCAUAAGCCAGCUUGACUGCGAGCGUGACGGCGCGAGCAGGUGCGAAAGCAGGUCAUAGUGAUCCGGUGGUUCUGAAUGGAAGGGCCAUCGCUCAACGGAUAAAAGGUACUCCGGGGAUAACAGGCUGAUACCGCCCAAGAGUUCAUAUCGACGGCGGUGUUUGGCAC
rnacentral:rRNA from 1 species